GCAGAAAGGAGUGGUUUGUCAGAACUGGAGAUCUAGUUACCCUCACAGCGAUAUCAACACUUACUCAGGAGAGGGCAUUGGGAAUCACAAUUACUGUAGAAAUCCUGAUAACGACCCUAAUGGACCUUGGUGUUACACUACUGACCGAAACAGGAAGUGGGACUAUUGUGGAGUUCCUAAAUGUAAAUGGAACGUAGACUGCUAUACGGAGAGAGGGGAGCUUUACCGGGGUGACAGGACGAAGACGGCAGGUAACAGCUACAACUGUAACGACUGGUACAGCAACUGGCCCCACCCCCAUGGUUAUGAUGAUGAUUCUAAUAUAAAGCGAUACGGUGUUGGACACCACAGAUUCUGUAGAAACCCCUCCCCUGGUGAUGAUAAUCGUCCCUGGUGCUUCACCACCUACUUCUGGAAGAGAUGGUCCUACUGUGAUGUUUCUAAGUGUGAGUUCUCGAGCACCAGUUACUAUACCAGAACUCACAACCCAAAGGGCGGAUAGAAUUUGGGACUUUUGAUGGAUUAAGUUGCAAUGUUGUUGAAAAGGCAGAAACUAUUUGUAAAUUUGUUUGUUUUGAUUAUAUUUUUAGGGAAAGCUUUUGUCACUGUCAGAUACUAUUGUAUACUUGAUGA